GCCGUGUGCGAGCUCCUCCCGCGCCGAGUGGGCAAAUGCACAUCAGAUGGGAAGAGCGGAGCGCUUCAGAACAACUGACUAAAAUUACACUCUUGAGCUGUAAUGUAUACAACGGCAUGAGUGAUUAAUUAGGGGAACCCACAUCCGACAAGAAAGGAAUCUUGGAAAACACUGCAAAUACAGCUGGGAUCCAGAUUAAUAUACUUAUCUAAUAAAGCGCUUCCCGGUCGCCUCCUCUCUUUUGCCCGGUCCUGUCUCCCUCUUCUUCUGCCUCGCAUUAGGGCAGGCUCGAUCGGACGAGCUAAACCUUUAAACUAAAAAAUGGUAUUUGUGUGGUGAAGACACCCAGAAGCCAGCUGACUUCAGACUGCACCGAGGAGUGAAACGGAUUGGAGAGUUUUACUCUCCCAGUCGUAUUUUACAGUACCAUGCCGACCCUACAGAGGAGAGCAGCUUUCUUCCUGUUUAUCCUGGACUUCUUCAGCAGCUAGCCUAAAUCUAUACAUACAGUUAAUACUCUACAUGAAGAAUUUUAAUAUAUAUUUUCCGUUAUAUAAGCGCGUUAAAAAAUAAUAAAGGAAAAAAAAUAAAG